rnacentral:rRNA from 1 species
GACGAACGCUGGCGGCGUGCUUAACACAUGCGAGUCGAACGGAAAGGCCUCUUUCGGGGGGUACUCGAGUGGCGAACGGGUGAGUAACACGUGAGUAACCUGCCCUUGACUUUGGGAUAACUUCAGGAAACGGGGGCUAAUACCGGAUAGGAGCUCCUGCUGCAUGGUGGGGGUUGGAAAGUUUCGGCGGUUGGGGAUGGACUCGCGGCUUAUCAGCUUGUUGGUGGGGUAGUGGCUUACCAAGGCUUUGACGGGUAGCCGGCCUGAGAGGGUGACCGGCCACAUUGGGACUGAGAUACGGCCCAGACUCCUACGGGAGGCAGCAGUGGGGAAUAUUGCACAAUGGGUGGAAGCCUGAUGCAGCAACGCCGUGUGCGGGAUGACGGCCUUCGGGUUGUAAACCGCUUUCGCUCAUGACGAAGCUUUGUGUGACGGUAGUGGGUAAAGAAGCACCGGCUAACUACGUG